GGGCAGUCAGGUGGCUAUGUAGCUAUGUAUUAACAGGUUAUUCUACGUGUUUUAGUUUUCUUACCCAAGCUUUCCUUUUCACUAGCUGAUCCGAAAUGCUCAGAAGACAGCACCAAGCAUAAUUUAUGUCCCAGAUAUCCAUUUAUGGUGGGACAACGUUGGACCCGCCUUGAAACUUACUUUUCUAACUCUACUACGUAACAUUCCAGCAUUUUCACCAGUUUUGCUGCUUGCUACGUCUGAUGUACGUCACUCAGAUCUCCCAGAAGAGAUCCAAAAAUUAUUUAAUAAGGAAUUUGGAGAAGUGUGCAAUAUUGAGUUGCCUGGUAGGGCAGAGAGAGCAGCUUUUUUUGAGGACCUAAUUCUAAAUCAAGUGGCUAAGCCUCCUGUAAAGAAAACAGUUGAUCGGACAUUGGAAGUCCUGCCUGUAGCACCACCAGCUGAGCCUCAGAAGCCACAAGAGGAAGAAGUAGGGAUGCUGGAGGAGGAAGAGGAGGAUACCUUGCGUGAACUUAGAAUUUUCUUGAGGGACGUUACUCACAGACUUGCCACUGACAGACGUUUCGGGGAAUUUGCAAAGCCCG